UGAUAGUCAGUCGGUUAGUUAUGACAGUUACGGAAACAUGGGGGGAGGGGCGAGCUUGCUCUGUUUUGUUUUGAAUUUACUUGAAACGCUCAACAGAAGUAUCG